rnacentral:rRNA from 1 species
AACGAACGCUAUCGGUAUGCUUAACACAUGCAAGUCGGACGGACUAAUUAGGGCUUGCUCCAAUUAGUUAGUGGCAGACGGGUGAGUAACACGUGGGAAUCUGCCCAUCAGUACGGAAUAACUUUUAGAAAUAAAAGCUAAUACCGUAUAUUCUCUACAGAGGAAAGAUUUAUCGCUGAUGGAUGAGCCCGCGUCAGAUUAGGUAGUUGGUGAGGUAACGGCUCACCAAGCCGACGAUCUGUAGCUGGUCUGAGAGGAUGAUCAGCCACACUGGGACUGAGACACGGCCCAGACUCCUACGGGAGGCAGCAGUGGGGAAUAUUGGACAAUGGGCGAAAGCCUGAUCCAGCAAUACCGAGUGAGUGAUAAAGGCCCUAGGGUUGUAAAGCUCUUUUAGCAAGGAAGAUAAUGACGUUACUUGCAGAAAAAGCCCCGGCUAACUCCG